AGCUCAUAAAGGACUGUUAUAGAAUGUAAUAUUUUUAGAUGCAGUUUAAUAUCUGAUAUGUCCCCCAUCGGGGGACCACAUAUUAAAUGGAUUUUUGGAACAGGGAGCUGGAUCAGGAGCUUGCUCCGUCCUCUCCAUGCAUGACGUGCUGAAGAAUCUAUAAAAAAUAUGCAUAUUUC
rnacentral:snRNA from 1 species